AUUGAACGCUGGCGGCAUGCCUUACACAUGCAAGUCGAACGGCAGCACGGGUGCUUGCACCUGGUGGCGAGUGGCGAACGGGUGAGUAAUACAUCGGAACGUACCUUAUCGUGGGGGAUAACGCAGCGAAAGCUGUGCUAAUACCGCAUACGCCCUGAGGGGGAAAGCGGGGGAUCGCAAGACCUCGCGCGAUUAGAGCGGCCGAUGCCUGAUUAGCUUGUUGGUGGGGUAAAAGCCCACCAAGGCGACGAUCAGUAGCUGGUCUGAGAGGACGAUCAGCCACACUGGGACUGAGACACGGCCCAGACUCCUACGGGAGGCAGCAGUGGGGAACUUUGGACAAUGGGGGCAACCCUGAUCCAGCAAUGCCGCGUGAGUGAAGAAGGCCUUCGGGUUGUAAAGCUCUUUUGUCAGGGAAGAAACACCGGCUCUAACACAGUCCGGGAAUGACGGUACCUGAAGAAUAAGCACCGGCUAACUACGUGCCAGCCGCCGCGGUAA
rnacentral:rRNA from 1 species